rnacentral:rRNA from 1 species
CGGAUCGUCAAAGUCAUCUUCACCAAAUCGAUAGUUAUCAUCUCAUCGAAAGAUCGGGACACCCCGCCUCUAUCAGCCCCUGCUGCUAUACAUACUGGACCAAUUACUAGAGCUCGUGCACGCCAACUAAAUUACCAGGUACUUUCGUUUCUUGGUAAUGAUUCUAAUGUUCAUGAGAAUAUUAUGCUGCCUAAAUUGGAUACAUUUGUUUUGCUUACAAAUGAAGGGCCUAGCUUGGAGAAGGAUGAACAUUGGAGCAAGAACACGCAUGGAGAUGAUGGCAUGCGCAAGGGGAAUAAGAACGGAGUUACAAGUGAUGAUUUCAGGACUUUGUAG